CUGAAACAGGCAGGACAGCAUUUUUGUCUUUUCGGCUUGCUACACGACUUCCUCCAUUCUGUGACUUUCACUUCUGUUCUCUAGCUACCUCCUCUCAGGCCACAGCAACAUUUUCUUCUGAAGGUGUCCCUCUCUAGUAUCUCAAACUGCAUUCCCUUCUUAAUCAAACGCAACUUCUGACCUGCCCAUACUCAUGCUGUCUUCCUCCAAGAACUUCCAGAGGCCUCCCAGAGAUCUGACCCAUCUUCCCCUUAUCUGACAGCUCCCCUGUGACAGUACAGCCUUCUCCUUUGCCUCCUCUUCUGCCUAUGAGCUUCCAACUGGGGCUUCCAGGAGGCCGGGCUGUCCUCCCUGCAGAAUGGAAUACAGAGGCUCGGAGGGCUUGCUCCGAACCACACAUGGGCACCGACAGGUUCACCAGCUGAGCAGGAAUUUCAUUCUGUGGGAAGAGAAAGAUGAAAAAGGAAUUUGUGCCAAAAAACCCACACUACAGAAACAUAAAGUCCAGGGGACUCAGAUGUGCAGACCAGAUUCUUCAGACAGAGAGAAGAGGACCAAGGAAACACAAAAGGACAAGGAAGGAACAUUUUGGAAUAUGCCUUGAAAUAGAGGGUGCCUGGGUGGCUCAGUGGUUGAGCUCCUGCCUUCAGCUCAGGGUGUGAUCCUGGGGUCCUGGGAUGGAGUCCCACAUUGCGCUCCCUGCAUGGAGCCUGCUUCUCCC
rnacentral:lncRNA from 1 species